rnacentral:rRNA from 1 species
UUGAGAGUUUGAUUCUGGCUCAGAACGAACGCUGGCGGCAGGCCUAACACAUGCAAGUCGAACGAAGGCCCGGAGCUUGCUCCGGUGUCCUUAGUGGCAGACGGGAUAGUAACGCGUGGGAAUUUGCCCAGUAGUACGGAAUAACUGCGGGAAACUGCAGCUAAUACCGUAUACGCCCUCCGGGGGAAAGAUUUAUCGCUAUUGGAUAAGCCCGCGUCGAAUUAGCUUGUUGGUGAGGUAAAAGCUCACCAAGGCGACGAUUCGUAGCUGGUCUGAGAGGACGAUCAGCAUCACUGGGACUGAGACACGGCCCA